rnacentral:rRNA from 1 species
GACGAACGCUGGCGGCGUGCCUAAUACAUGCAAGUAGAACGCUGAAGAGAGGAGCUUGCUCUUCUUGGAUGAGUUGCGAACGGGUGAGUAACGCGUAGGUAACCUGCCUUGUAGCGGGGGAUAACUAUUGGAAACGAUAGCUAAUACCGCAUAACAUUGAAUGACACUUUUCUUUUAUUUGAAAGGGGCAUUUGCUCAACUACAGAAUGGCCCUGCGUUGUAUUAGCUAGUAGGUGAGGUAAUGGCUCACCUAGGCGACGAUACAUAGCCGACCUGAGAGGGUGAUCGGCCACACUGGGACUGAGACACGGCCCAGACUCCUACGGGAGGCAGCAGUAGGGAAUCUUCGGCAAUGGGGGCAACCCUGACCGAGCAACGCCGCGUGAGUGAAGAAGGUUUUCGGAUCGUAAAGCUCUGUUGUAAGUCAAGAACGGGUGUGAGAGUGGAAAGUUCACACUGUGACGGUAGCUUACCAGAAAGGGACGGCUAACUACGUG